UACGUAGGGUGCAAGCGUUGUCCGGAAUUAUUGGGCGUAAAGAGCGCGUAGGCGGCCAGGUAGGUCCGACGUGAAAUCUCGAGGCUCAACCUCGAGCGGUCGUUGGAUACCGCCUGGCUAGAGUCCGGAAGAGGAGAGUGGAAUUCCUGGUGUAGCGGUGAAAUGCGCAGAUAUCAGGAAGAACACCCAUGGCGAAAGCAGCUCUCUGGGACGGUACUGACGCUGAGGCGCGAAAGCGUGGGGAGCGAACAGG
rnacentral:rRNA from 1 species